UACGUAGGGACCGAGCGUUGUCCGGAAUCAUUGGGCGUAAAGGGCGUGUAGGCGGCUAUUUAAGUCCUGCGUGAAAUCCUGCGGCUCAACCGCAGACGGUCGUGGGAAACUGGAUGGCUAGAGUGCGGGAGAGGAGAGUGGAAUUCCCGGUGUAGCGGUGAAAUGCGCAGAUAUCGGGAAGAACACCCGUGGCGAAGGCGGCUCUCUGGAACGCAACUGACGCUGAGACGCGAAAGCGUGGGGAGCAAACAGG
rnacentral:rRNA from 1 species